UUUGGGAAAAAAGAACAUGUGGUAUUCUAUUUAUAAUGUACCUCUUUGAAUACAAUAAAAAUAAAAAAAGAUUCAACAGUACUCUAUACAAAUAAACAAAUCACACUGGAAUUUUCUCUGCAGAACACGUGUACAUAGAAAAUUCAAAAAAGUUACGUUUCUACUUCUAAUAUAUACUUCAGACACUCAGGGAAACUGUGAUCAAUCCUAUUUUACCUGUACUCAAAAUGAACAAGAAAGUCAAAAGAAAGAACAAUCUAUUCAAGUGCAAACUAGAGUAAUUAGAAUACCAUGAAUUUGGUUGGCAGGCAACGCAAAACACCACUUCAUGAGAAUAAUCUCUCAGUUACUCUACAUUUCUGGGAGGUAUGAGACAGAUGGUCCCCAACCAUAUAUCAGGUCACUCGGUGAGGAGUAACCCAUUAGCCUAUGAAGUGGUGACCCUCCUCCUCCCGCCGGCAGCUCUUCAAUUUCUGAGGAUACUUUAUUUGAUUUGGAUGUGCUAGAAGAAGGGCCUGCUGAUUCACAUGUUUGCACAGGAUUCUUACCUUUGUUUCGAGUCUCAUUCGAAGCAAACUUCCUUUUCUCUGUGCUAUGCUCAAGUGAACCACGUGAUACAUUUCUUUGAACUUCAUUGCUGUGGAUAGCAUGAACUGGUAUCUGGGAAACAAGAUCCUUGUCAGUGGAACAGCUUUUGCAGAAGGCAAGUCCACAAUCAUCAGAACAAGACACAGAAUCCGUAUAGGGACCACUGACAUGAGAUGUGGAAGUAAAGUUUCUCCGAUGAAUAGCAUCACUAUACUCGUCAACCUCACUUGGUGGAGGUGCUUCAGCACUUGUUGUAUAUGGGAUUAGAUGAGUUCUGCCUUGAAGUGAAAACUUAAGUACCUCUGAACAAGCACCACAUUUUAGCCGAUGGCACCUCCUUUUAAAGAGAAGAAAAUCUGCAGGCAGCAAUAGCUGAUUCGAGCAACAAUAACAAGUUAUGAAAGGGGCUCCACCUGCUACGGGUCUUAGGCGUCGCUUAGCCAAAUAAUGUUUCUCCCUCCAGUACCUCUCCACCUCAUGAUUUCUAAGCCUCUGGUCAGCAGACUUAGUUCCGCGACAAUAUAUGGGAAUCUCAGAUUCAACAUGCCGUUGAGGACUUGAGGGGCAAGAACCGUACGAAUUGUAAAGAUUAAGAUGAGAGUGUAUCCUACAAUACCCCUUAUUGCGACGAAAUCCAGGUGGAGGAAAUUGUGUUGUACGCUGCCACUCUUGGGGACAGCAACACAUGGAAUAAUCAACUUUGUGUCUACUGUUCGUUGCCUCUGCUGAGAAAGGUAUUUGAGAGUAUUUUUUCUGUUGAGACCAAUUAUCUCCCUCUCUAAUUCUUUCAGCAAAUCUAGGAUAAACUAAGUUACGGAGGCUUUCCUCUUGUAGGAGCUCACGGUCAUAGUAUGUGGGAAUAUAAUGAUCUUUCCAAGUGACUCCUCCGUUUGGUUUAUCAUUCCGAGAUGGAUUAUUAAGUUGAUACUGCAAUUCAUAAACCAUUCUCAACAGUUUCAUCUUCUCCUGCUCAGAGUACACAGGCUUGUCUUGUCCAGCAAAGCUUGAAUUAUAAUAUAACUCAUUGUAAUUGGAAGGACUGCCACUUUCAUAGCUAGCCAGGGAGUCCCUUCGACGGAAAGCGGGCUGAGACAGAUAUUCAUCUCUUGCUAAUCUUCUCCAGUUUCUACCUGGAUGGCCAAGUCUUGUGGGCUCCAACAAUUCAUCUCGAUCCAUCCUGCUGGAUUUUAUGGCAUAACGUGUCCUCUCUGGCAGAAAUGAUGCAGAAGUCCUGAAAUGAUGUUGUGUCUCAUUACUGUUGUUGAUUGGGAAUCUUUCCCUUCUGGGCCUCACAUCAGAAGCAGCAUAGUUCGCAAGCCUAUAAGCAUGUUUAGAUGAAUGUUUGUGUCGAUCAGGCAAUUGAUCAUCAGUUCCUUCAUAAGAAGAGACACCAUCAUCAUAAUAAGCACGAGAGCUUCUGGUUGUGGGGGAUUUCGACAAAUCUAUAAGAGUACCACUGAGCUCAGAGCUGGGGUUGACAAAAUCUUCGAUUUCAAAUGCAUCUAUAGACCUUACACAGGCAAAGCCGUGGUGAGCAAUUUCCUGAGGCUGUUCUACAUGAUCCUUAGGUGAAGAUAUAAGGAUAUCAGAUGAAAUACUCUCUCCUGCUGGCUGUUGGGCAGUGGCAAUUGAAGUACUUCCCUUUGUAUCAACCAGCUCCUCUUGCCUUGAUCUUCUGAAAACGGAGUCACUCUCAUUGUUAGCAUCUGCUUCUGCUUUUAGCUUAGCCUUUGCAGCUAAUGGCAAGCUUUCAUCAUUAAACUCAACUUCUGAAUUUGUUCUUGAUAAUGGAGAAUGAGACAGCAUUCCAUUACUGAGAUGAGAAGGUUCAUCUGAUGAACAAUCUUCAUUGGAAACUCCAUGCGGCUCAACAUUGCAAGCCAAAGAUUCAUUUUGAUGACUGUCAUUGUUGUGGUCCUCAUCUGAUAAAUUUACACCUCUGACUUGCUGAUAAUCACAAAUUGCAGAUUCAUUUUUAUCACUUCCACUUUUUUGGUCAGCAUUUGAUAAGUUUGCAUCUUUAAGCUGCUCAAUAUCAAAAUCCUCGGAUACAUUUUGAUCACUUGCAUUGUUUUCAUCUUCAUUUGUUAAAAAUGAGCCUGUGGGCUUGUCAUCAUUGCAAUUGCCAGAUUCAAUUUGACCCCUCCCAUUGCUUUCGUACGGGGAGCAUUCCCCUUCAGAAUGAAGAAUAGUUUCAUGACUUAAGCUGCUAUAUUCCUUAUCUUCAGAAACAAGAUCUAAUUUAUUCAACUUUGAAGCAUUAGUUUCAGGUAAUCCAGAUGCUGUGCUUUUGGCAUUUUCUUUUCGAACUUUUGCUUGGAGAUGUGCGCCACAUCCACCACACUCGUAGACAGGAAAAUCUGGCAACUCAGGAAGGAUGUUCCGACAUCUAGGACAUCUAACAAUUCGAAUCUUUGGACUCGUUCCACUUAUCAUUUUCCUCCAAAUAUAUAAAUGCAAUCACUUGACGUGUUGGCUUUUGCCUUUAAUUCUGAUAUGACCAACCACCAAAUAGGUUCAAACUUGAUUUGUGACCUUAUUGUAAGAGUAUAAAGCUAAACCAUCUACAAACAGAAAAACACAGAGGCACACGUUAAAUAGAUAUAUAUUGUGGGAGUAAAGCGAGCAAAACAAGUUCUAGAAAUGGUUUCACAACGGAAGAUGAGUUCUACAAUGUAGUUCAACGAGGCAAGUUGUGUAAUUUCAAUAAUUUCCAUGACAAUUAACUUCUCUAUGAUUUCCCUAAAAAAUAAAAUUCUAAACUGUUUUCAUUACAAUGCUUUCUUGGAAGUCUUUUUAAAUAAAGAACUAUUCUUAAGCAAUCAAGAUACAACACUAGAAUAAAACAAAAAAAUGAUAGAUGAAGUAGUUAAGGCUGCUGCUAUUUUUUACCGGAUGCUGCUCACAUACGACUAGAUUAUACGAUAAACAUUCCAUCAACACAAGAGAUCUUUGGAACCAGCAAAACCAAUCUAGUUUGGCAUGUUUGUCCAUCAAAAAGCAGAAAGAAAUGUCGAAUACGAAAUGUGCACAUACUGUAAUUUGAACCCAAUUAGAGCCAAAUCAACCAACAAAAAUAUUACAAUAAAGCAUAUUCGUUUGGCUGAAUAAAUAUUUAGAUAUCUUUUUGCAGUUUUUUGAAAUCAAAGCAAUGUGUGUCAGAAAUCAGAGAUCAGGCGCCUAAAACAUGGCAUGAAUCUAAACAGAAAAUGAGUAAAAUCUGAACUACAGAGAAUAGGGAGGAUCUGGGUAUUAACUUGAGAUAAAUAAAUUUUAACCAAGAGAUUGGCAAUUACAGAAGAUGUACAAUUUGAGCAAAAAAGAACAAUUUAAUUACUGCAGUUAAUAGUCAACGUUAAGCUGCAGAUGGAUAUAAAGACGAG
rnacentral:misc_RNA from 1 species